rnacentral:lncRNA from 1 species
ACCUGCAAAUCCCUGAUAUGAAAUAUGUGUUCUCUCCUAGAUUGGCGGAAGGAACAGUUCCAAGCCUGUGAGUGAUUGUGUGCUUCCAGAUGUUCCUCCUGUUGCUCUCAUAGUUUGUGGCUUCUCCUUAAGCCCUCUGUGGUGAUUCAGAUACUGACAUCACCAAUGGUGUUACCGUGGCAGAAGUGAUGGUCACAAAACUGUAACCAAUGGUCCUGUCACAUGGCUACCCUCAAGUCAGCCUUCUGGCUCCUUCUUCUGGUUGAGGACGUUGGUUUGAGUUAUAAGACUUAUAUCUCAGGAGUCUAAUCCCCUCCUCAGCUCAGGCAGCUAUGUGGCUGUGAGGUGGUGGGUGGCUGUGUGCUAUGUGUUGGGGCAAGGGCGCACCUUACAUGAUUGAUAACUCUCUCAACAGGGUCUGUCACGCUGGAUCCAGACUCUGCUCACCCCAUGCUGUGUGUGUCUCAUGAAAAGACGUGUCUGAAGGACCCCUCUGUGAAUAGUGAUAAAAAUUUCAGUGUGUUGGGUCUUGAGGGCAUCACAUCAGGAAGAUGUUACUGGGAAGUGGAGAUAAAGAAUAAAUCCCAUAGCAGGUGGACUCUGGGAGUCUGUUGGAAAGAUUUAAAAAGAACAGACUCAUACAGAGAAUUACCAGAUAAGGGGUUUUGGGUUAUGGGGAAACAUGACAAUAGUUAUUUUGCCGGGACUGGUCCUGUGACUUGGUUAUCUCCUAGGCAGGAUCCCUGCAGGGUGGGGGUUUUCCUGGACUACAGUGAAGGGGAUGUCUCCUUCUAUAACAUGAAUGAUGGGUCCCACAUUUUCUCUUUCCCUCCAGCUUCCUUCUCUGGAGCUCUCUUUCCGUACUUCAUGAUUAUGUAUGGAGAUGUGUCCAUGACCAUCUGCUCCAUGGAGAGUGGGUCUGAGGGGCUCCCUGUACCCCUUAACAAUUCUCCUACUUUGGAGGAGACCCUGAGCACUCCAAAGGAGGGGUUCAUCUCAAGCUGUGGUGUUGAUGGUGCUUACCCAGAGGCUAAAUCUUUAUUACUUCCGUGACACCAAAAGGUUUUGUCUUCAUAGAGUCCCUUGGUAUGUGUGAUCACUCACUGUGGCUGUUGCUGUGGCUAUAGACUCAAUGUGGCAAAAUCCCCUGAGAUGAGACUUGGAAGGUGCAAUGUACUUGUCCUCCUGCUCUUGCUCAGACUUCAGAUGUGUGGUUAAAAGGGUUCAUAUCUUAUAUAUUCAGAUAGCAGAGGUUAAAAGUUAACUCUUUUUGAACUGGUUUAGGGAAUGUGGAAUUUAAAUAUAAGGAACCAUAUCUUUUUGGUAUUGAAAAAUAUUUUAGAUAGGUGUGACAGCUCAUACCUCUAUCCCAGCUACUGGGGAGGCUAAGGCAGGAGGAUCACUUUAGCCCUUAAGUCUCAGACUAUCUUGGGCACCUUAGAGGUACCCUGUCUGAAAAAAAUUCAAACAAAGGGGAGAUCACAUUACUGGACUUGCAUGUUUGUAGAGGAAACGAGAUUGAGAAGGUUUUCCAGUUCUAUUUUUGCAAUUUUGGACUAUCAGAUGCCAGAAAGUUUAUCAUCCAAAAGUUUUCUGGGAUAUGAAUAGGUGUGUUAGUCAUCUUGUUGACUCUGUGACAAAAUACUGAGAAAUCAACCUAUAGGAGGAGAGAUUUAUUUUCCUCGUAGUUUUAGAGGUUUCAGUUCAUAAUUGUCUAGCUUCAUUGUUUCUGAGGCAGAAUGUCAUGUAAUGAUUGAUAACAUGUGGUGGAGCAAGUGAUUCAUCUUAUAGAAGACACAAAGCAAGAGAGGGAGACAGAGGAAAAGGGUAGGGGAAGGGAGGGAGUUAAAAGUGAGGGUAGAGAGAGAAAAAAGAGAGAGGGAGGAAGGGAAAAAUAAGGGUCUGGGACAAGACCUAGUCUUCAAUUACACAGCCACAUUUACCUACUUCCUUCCUGUUUCCUAGUCCCCACCACCCAAAGUUUCCACCACUUCCAAAAAGGGCCACAAGCAGAACCAAGCUUUUAACACAUAAGCCUUUGGAAGAUAUUUCUGUUCCAAUCUCCAAACAAUGGUGGAUUUUUAAGAGAAUGGUCCAACUUUCUAUGGUAUUUGCUUUCUAUUCUGGGAUGAAUGGAACAUAUUUGUUUUCCCUUGCCUCAGUAACUUUCUGGUACCAUUGAGAAUAUUGUGAUAUGUUAAUCCAGGGAAUUAGGGAUAAGGGAAUGGAUCCCCCUUAGAAGCUAUUAGUACACAUUCAUUGUACAAAAUGUCAGGUUUUAUUGUGACAAUUUCAUACAUGCAUAUAAUGUACUUUGAUCAUAUCCACCCUUCCUGCUACCUUUUGAUUUUUUCCUCCAUUCCUCUUUUGUGUCAAUACUGUAACUGAGGAAAGGCAAGAAUUACUAGAGUAAAUAUAAAUGAAAAAGAGAAUUUUCAGAUGCAAAGUGAAUUUCAAAAAGCUUUGAUCAUGAGCAUAGGUCCAGUUAGUAUAUUUCCUCUUAGUACUUCCAAGUCUGAUCUUAAGGGUUAAUGGAAAACCACAGCAAACAAGAAGAGACAGGACUAUUGAGAAUUAGACCCUGCAAAAAUAAAGGUGUGUUCACUCUACCAGAUUUUUGUGACUAGUUUUCUGACUUGGGGAGAGGAAACACAGAAUGGGAUUUGGAAGAAAGAGAGUACAUAUAACACACAGUACUUCUAGAAACAAGGAUGUAUUAGUUUUGUAUAUUUUCUCUUUGCUUGUGGUGUAUAUGUGUGUAACUGUAUGUAUUGACCAUUUGCUUCCUCUCUCUUCUUAUAUUUUGAUUUUCUAUACAAAUUGUUAUCUUUUAGGUAAUAGUAUAGUCAAUGAGACUGAGUGAAUCUGAAGAGAUCAUAUAGUAGUGUAGUGUACAGUGAUUGGGAGUGCUUUUUCCUUAUGUUGGGGAGUAGAUAAGAACUUCUUCCUUAGUCAGGUUGCUUUGUCAUGAUGGAUUUGUUGUUUUAUGGAAGUUCAAAAUUUGUAAAAUGGUAUAACAUGUAUGUAUACAUAAAGUAUAAAGUCAAAGGUGUGGACAGAGUCCAGUAUCAUUUUAUUGCAUUUCUGUUCCAAAUCUGCUCUAUGUUGGUUUUCUUUGUGUUAAUGGAGCUGGACCGUGUAAACACUUUUUUGCCAACUGAGACAAUGUGAGAUAUUUUGUACAAUGCAGUGGAGGGGCCACUUCAUUGCAAGGUAGUUCUGUUUUUUUUUUCUUUUUUCUUUUGGAUGUGGGUUGGGGGACCAGGGAUUCAAUUCAGGCUCCUUAACCACUGAGUGAUGUCCCCAAUCUUUUUUAAAAACUAUUUUUAUUUAGUUGUGGUUGGACACAAUAAAUUUAUUUAGUUUAUUCUUUAAUGUGGUGCUGAGAAUUGAAGCCAGUGCCUCACAAUGCUCCCGCACUGAGCUACAACUCCAGCACCACCAAACCUUUUUAAAUUUUAUUUUAAGACAGUGUUUUGUUGCAUUGCUUAGAGCCUGGCUAUGGUGCUUAGACUGGCUUUGAGCUUGUGAUACUCCUGCCUCAGGGAUCACAGGCAUGGGUUACUAAACUGGGCUGUUUUUUUCUUUUUGAAUCACCUUCCAGCAGUGUGCAGAAGGCUCACCUUUUGGUUACAUAGUAGGAAAUGUGUAUAUUGAUAUCUUUAUCCAUAAUUUUAGUCUUCACUCUAGGUCCCUGAAAAGUGGUUUCUCUCCCUGAUCCCUGAAAACAGCUCCUAAAACUCUUGGAAUUUCCUGAUGCAGAUGAAAGGAGAGUCUCUUGUUAUUAAUAACCAGCCCCUUUCAGCCAUCUGAGUUUAUGUUAAUAAGAUAACUUUUAGAAAGUCAUCUUAUUAACAUGGGUCACCUCAGGAGGGGGGCAGAUUGCCAAAGUAACAAAUUUUAUGAGUAGAAAGUUGAAAGAGAGGAGGAAAUAGGGCUGAAGGUUGAGUUUAUUAUUUGCCAGUAGUCAGUGAUUUAAUCAAUCAUAGUGACUCAGUGAAACCUCCAUGCAAACAUUGAGGGAGCAUCUGACUUGAUGAAUAACAAUGCAUCCAUGUGUGUUUUGGGGUGGUGCCUCUGAAACUCCACCAUGGGACAGAUACUCAUGUGUUCCAGAUAUUUUGGGCCUCACCCUAUGCACAUGUUCAUCUGGCUAUUCACUGUGUCUUU